rnacentral:lncRNA from 1 species
CAGCGAGGACUGGGAAGGCCGCCUUUCACCUGGAAGUUGGAGGGACGAGGAAGCAGUCGGUGGAGCGCUCUUGCCACCGAGACCUACUGGCUGCAAUGCUGCGAGGUAUGCGAAGCAAGUGCGAGACAAACUGGCGCACCACUUCGUCACAGACGGUCAAGUUCCCUGGCAAGACAAAGUGGUGAACAGCGCUUGAAGUAUACAAGUUCAAGGGGUCCACAACGGUCUCCUCAGUCGUGUCCUCGGAGGUUUCGGGGUCCACUGCAUGACUUGGCCCUGGCGCUGAACUGCAGUGAUGACAACUCUUUUCCAUGUAUUUGACAACGCUAGUGGUACAUGCACUGUUAGCAUUCUUUGCAUCAGGUGUGUGUUACGUGCAGCUGCAAACACGAGUGCACUCAAGGGGU